rnacentral:rRNA from 1 species
AUUGAACGCUGGCGGCAGGCCUAACACAUGCAAGUCGAGCGCGAAAGCUCUUCGGAGUGAGUAGAGCGGCGGACGGGUGAGUAACGCGUAGGAAUCUACCCAGUAGUGGGGGACAACUUGGGGAAACUCAAGCUAAUACCGCAUACGCCCUAUGGGGGAAAGCGGGGGACCUUCGGGCCUCGUGCUAUUGGAUGAGCCUGCGUUGGAUUAGCUAGUUGGUGGGGUAAAGGCCCACCAAGGCGACGAUCCAUAGCUGGUCUGAGAGGAUGAUCAGCCACACUGGGACUGAGACACGGCCCAGACUCCUACGGGAGGCAGCAGUGGGGAAUAUUGCGCAAUGGGGGCAACCCUGACGCAGCCAUGCCGCGUGUGUGAAGAAGGCCCUAGGGUUGUAAAGCACUUUCACUUGGGAGGAAAGGUUCGUAGUUAAUAACUGCGAGCUGUGACGUUACCUUGAGAAGAAGCACCGGCUAACUCCGUGCCAGCCGCCGCCGUAACAC